rnacentral:lncRNA from 1 species
CAGGAUGGGGCUUUCAGUUACCUGUAACAUUUCAGAAAUCUCAGAAAUGAAGCAUGAAGCUUGUUCCAGGGAGUGACAGCUCCCCAAUAUAUUGACUAUUCUCCUGUGCUGUUUUCUGUCCGGUUUUGCCUUUUAGGAAAAAGAUUGCUGCCAAGAAACAUAGGCAGUGAGUGUCCCCAAGCCCUAAUUGCGAUAACUGGGCACUGAAAUCUAUUUCAGUUUGGAUUUUUUUGAUGUUCCUAUGCUUUCUAUGUUUUUGUCGUUGUUGUUGUUUGUUUUGUUUUUGUUUUCCCCUUUGCUGAGCUUGGAAAAGUGGUUGUGGAAUGGAUCGGUUUACAUUUCUUUUUGAGUAUAUACCAACUGUAUUAAGAGUUAAAUAUGAAAAAGGAUGAAAAUAAGUACGAAAGACAACAUCCGUUCUCAUUUCAAUUUCCUGGAAGGAAAGUGCGGUUGGGCAGAUGGUGCUUUUUUGUUUUACUAAACUGAAUGAUCAGAUGUAAAUAAUAUAACCAUAUAAACUAUAAAGAUCGUUGGAGGUGGCUGAAUUGUACCUUAGCUAUUUCUGUUCCCAUCCAUGGAGAACCAGGACACUGAGUUUCUGGUUAAACAGGUAGAGGAGAGUGGCUGGUAAUUUGGCAUCACGUGAGUCUCGAUAUUUCUCUAUUAUUGUUAAUUUUCUUCAUACCCUGGCUUUAUUAUGUGUUAGGUGAAUUUUUUUUUUUAGUUUGAUGUGAUUUUUAUGUGUUUGGAGCUCUGCUUUUAUUUGCUUUCUACGUUGGAACACUAAAUAUUCCUAGGAUGUAGAAGAAUUUGUGUUCUCUGGUAGUUACAAAAGGUCCUUAAAAAAAAGGAAAACAAACAAACAAACAAAAACCCAACAAACAAAAUAAUCCCACCUCUUCUAAUCAUGAAUGACUAAACGUGACUCAGUAAGGUCACUAAUACUGUCUUCUACACUGAAGGAGGAGAAAAAGACCUUGUGUGAUGAACGUCUAACGAAAUAAUACUAUGGUUUCAUUCUCAGCUAGGAUCAAACUGUAUGCUCUUUAUUUCUCCUCAUAUCCUGCAUGAUGGGGUUCAGACAGAGGGCUUGUUUGUAUUCACACUACACGAGCACCUCUACCAGUGGUAGUGAACUAGAAAUAAUAAUGCAAACCUCUUAGUAAGUUAUAAUAUCCCUGAACACCCUCCUGGUCCAUGGUGACAUCAUGAAUUUGAUGCCUUUUUACUAGAUAAAUGGACACAGCAGAGGAGGAGAAGACAUUUUCUUGCUGAAAGUGUAACACUGUAUUCCUCAGGAGAAAUGACACAUACAAAGUUAUAGAAAUCAAAUAUAAAAUCAGAAUGACGAGAUCUGUGGAAAUUUGAAUACAUAAUAUCACUGCUAUAACUCCUCAAAAAAUCAAAAUGUGGAGGCCAAUUAGGUGAUUAAAUUAAGCUGAAACUGACUUUCUGAAGUUCAUAAAAAAUUAGGAGUAGUAAGAGAAACUAGUUAGUUUUUUAUAAGCAAAUAGGAAUGUCAAAUGUAUAUAAGAAAAUUGAUUGGGUUGUGGUAUUUUUGUUGUUGUUGUUGUCGUUGUUGCUUUUUUAAUACUUAUUAACCUAAGAGACCUGUUGUCAGGGCCUUAUUCUGAGUUUUUAGCUAUUUUAAACUCAUAACUGCUGGAAUCAAAUGAUUCCACAAGAAUUUCAUCUCUUGUAAAAUAAAAUGUUAGUAGCAAAAACAGAACUUGAAAAUUUGGUCAGAAUAAACCCUAAGAUCUCAAAAAACCAAACCAAACCAAACCAAAACAACAAAAAACAAAACAAAACAAAACAAAAAAGAACACAGAAUCAUAUAUUUCUUUUUAAGCCAUUUCCAUGUUUCCAGAGCCUGAUGUAUUUUUUUUAGGCUCCUUGAUUUUAACAGUGCACAAAAAGAAGGAGCAAUACAUAAUAAUGACAUUACAGCAGUACUAUUCAGAAAGUGGAAGAAAUAACAGAAAAAAAUGUAACUGUCCUCCAUUUAGUCUGAAGCUGCACUGCAAAAGGGAAUGAAUUAGUGCUUGUAGCAAACGUGUCAUUGGAGCUAUGAUUUUAUAGGGGCAAAUUUUCAGCAUUACAUAUUAACUGAGAAAUAAAUCAAACAAAAAGGAAAGACUUAAGCUCACAGAACCUCCUGCCUCAUAACUUUUCUGAAAGCUUGAAAAUCUCAGAGAAAGAGAUUCAUCUCCAGUUGCGCAUGGACAGCUUGGUAAUAAAUAAAUAAUAGAAGAAAUCUAAUAAUUAAAGACUCCAGAGAGAGGUCUUAGGACUGGAGGAAAAAAAGCACCAAAGCAGAGAGGCUUCAGCUCAACUGUGGUCAUGCAUCUAUCAAUUUGUUUUGGUGCACAAAGGGGGUAACUUUGCAGGAGGAUGUGUGCUGCUGAUGGGUACUGCAGGCAGGAAGCAGAGCUGGGGUGCAAGUGUCAUGGACAGACAGUGAAAGCAGCAGAAGCAGCUUCCCAUAAGCGGGCAGGGCUUCGGACGGUUGCUCACUCAUUUUCCCACAGUUAAAAGCUGACAAACUUGAAACGGUUAGGGGCCGAUAAGGCAAGUGUAGUUAAAAAGGAAGGAAAGGUUUUAAACACCUGAGGCCAAACUUCUAUCUUCUGUUGAUCUCAACUGGAAUAAAAUAAUAUUUGCAAGCCCAAGAUGUGACUCCUUGUCUCUUGUACAUAUUCUGAAACCCAUAGAAAUUGAUCAUGGAGUAUUUCUGGCUUUUCUGGCUGACCACACCAUAGACAUUGCUGUCCUCAUGUACAAACAGUUCUGUGCUUGCAGUAUGUCAUGCUAUAGGUAAAUAGUGCAUUAGCACAUUCACUCACAGACAUGUAAUUAUGGAUAGUGCUCUAAACGGAAGAGGAGAGAUACCAUUUGCAAGUAAAACAGACUGGUCCCAGGUUAAGUUACAGUUACCAAACAAAAUGGAGGCAGUCUUCAGGCCCUGACAAGCAGCUGCGAGUAAAACCUGUUGAACAAGUAAGACAUCAAAUGUCCUGUGGCAUCGGAAAGCAAAAAAUCUGAUAUUUGAUUUUUCUUUCUCUUGAAAGAAGCACUUCAUCAUGUAAACCCAAUUCUUUGUUUCGUGAGUGGGCCUGGACUGCCACUGUUCAUUACUAUGGGAGUCGAUGUAGAAAUCAACACAGUAAUGCCUUUCAUCUCUUGUAUUAUAAGAAUUCAAAUUCAAUUUUUAUUUUACAGCACAGACACAUAAUACCUCACAGUAUGGUUCUUGGUUGCAACCAUCCGUUAACAAUGGUUUUGAAAAGAGAUAUAGAACAUAAAAAUAAAACCCUAUUUUUCCCCCCAGUAGUUUGUUUCAUCUUACGAACAAUAGCAAUUCACCAUCUAAAACACACAGUAAUAGUAAGUAGAUUCUAUUAAACACUGUAUUCUUCCUAAUUUUAUUUAUUUAUUUAUUUAUUUAUUUUGACCACUGACAUAGUUAGCUGUUUCACAAAACCAGUGGUCUACAAAGUCUGGCCAACUGAUGCCUUUGCCAAUAGUAUACUAGGAUGCUAAGGGCCUUUCUUAGCUCCCAUACAGCAGACUACUGCACUUUUUCUUAUGCCAGUCAUGGAACUGCAAUACCAUGGGAACACUUAGACCUACAGUGUUUUACAGUGGGGUGCGUGGCCUGAGGUUUACAUGACUAUAACUGAUGCUGAUCAUGUUCUUAAUAAUUUACUCAGGUUCAUAUAUCUGCAUGUUUUACAAGGCUUUCAGUCUGAGUGUUUGACAAUAGCGUAUGCAUACGGUUAAGUGUGAAAGCCAUUACCCAAACAGGUGGACUAACUUUCUGUACAGUGUAUCUUUUAAAGUUGCGUGGUCAUCAUUCCUCCUUUGUCAGUGCUUCUGCUAAAGUGUCAAACUGAGGCUCUUUGCAACCAGUGGUUAGCUCUGUGGUCUAGAGACUGUUUCAUAAAGGCCCUAAAGAUAUUUCAGAAGCUAGGUGGCCCAGCAGAUUCUUUCUCUGGUUAAAAUGCAACAAAAUCCCAUCAGCCUCAGCAGUGAUCAGAGCAACAGAGGAAACAGCAACAUAUGAAAAACAGGGAUGGAGAUAUCCAAAGUAAUCUCACUAGUUUAUGUUAAGAAAGGAUUUGACAGACCUGCUGUGUUCCUACUUAAUGUCAAUCAAGCCUGAGAGGGACCACUUCAUCUCAGGUAUUUAUCUCAUACUGAUUUGAAUUAUUCUCACUUCUUGAUUUGGAAAGUCCAGAACAGAAUACCCUGAGAAGUGUGUGUUGACAUAUCCUACAUAAAACAAAAUUAAACCAAUCCAAGUCAAGGAAAUAAACAAUGUGACAUGAGAAUUGGGCCCUUUGAGUUUGACAACAAAAGUAGUCAAAUGUAGCUCUCAGUCAGGGCUGUAAGUUCUCAGAAAUUCUUCUGGGAAGUGAAAAAUCCAUGAAUUCCACUGCAUCAUCUCCUUCAUACAAAAAGGAUAAGCAAAACACGUGCAGGAAAAAUCAGCUAUAUUAUUAAUCUCUCUUUUUGCUGGUAAUCAAUAUAAGCCUUAUGUUUCUGUUGCAGACGUAACAGUAACUAAAGAGCAGCAUUCGCGGUUAAGUCUGGAUUGUCCUUCUUCAUUAGCCUAAUUCUGUGCAUAUCAAAACUUAUUCAGAAGAAAUUGUUUUAAAUGGUUACCAAGAUAUAAAUGAUUAUCACUGAAAUCACAGGAAAGAUAGUGCUUACCAAAACCCCAAGAAAGUACUUCAGACAAUUUUUCUUUCAUUGCCAAGCAGCGAAGGUCAAGUGAACUGUACUAUUUGCAAAUAUCCACCUUCCCAGUCUGUCACGAGCAGCUGUAACAUACCCACCAGCAGCAAUUUCCACUUGGAUCUAUCCAGAGGGAAGAAAGUACCAGGAAUUGCAUUGUUUAUAAUUCCCUCAACGCCAAGGGUAAUUCUGUUCACCAAUUACUUGAAAUUAAAGCUAGGUAAUUUGACACGUCUGUUUGGUACCCAACCACAAAAUACCUCUUAAGCAAACCAAAGAGUUGGAAAGUUUACUUCCACAAUACUUUACAGAAUUUCAUUAUUGCAGCCAUGACAGUAAAGUACAAAUGAGAAGUUACAUAAACUCAUGAGUAGCUGGGGUUUGGAGGGGAACGGAGUUUGUCAUUGUUGCCAGUGUUAAGGAAUGCCAAUGGGUUUGACACAGAGCUGGAAGGCAGUUUUCUUCCAAGGAUGAGGCUUCCCAAUCAAAUAUAGCAAAUAUAGUAAGAAUUGAGCAACAAGAAGCUUCCAAGUGCAAUGUUGGACAGAAAAAGAAUGCUGUUCUCUGCAAUUAGGAGUGUUCAUACGUUGUGUCUUUGCAUGCAGUUACAAUGCUUCCUAGAAAAAGGCAAUGCAUAUGCAGAGAAAGAAUUACCCAUAUUAUCUACAGCCGGUAUUUUUUUUUAUCUUUAAGUCCACUCAUUUAAGUUACAUAAUUGAAGCCUGAGUUAGAUUAUAUCUAGGCUUGGAUUUUUUUUAAAGUCAAAUAAACCUCUUAAACAUUACAUUGGUGAUGAGUUUGUGUACACACCACUUCCGUAUCUCUUUGUGAGUAACAAACUAGCUGUCAGGUAUCUCCACUGAACUGCAUGACUCACUCCGUGGAUUCAUUUUACAAUCUGGUAAAACCGGUAACUGAUAACACCUAUCCUUUGUAAGAACUUUUUAGGUGUUUUAAUUUGACAAAUGAACAUUUACAAAAAUGAAUAAAUAAAAGAUUAGACUGAUGAAGUUUAAAAACACAAAAGAUGACUCAAAAAUCCAUUCACUCAACAUUAUUUUGAGCAGUAUAGCUAAUGUCAGUGAAGUGAGCCUAGUUCUCCUUUCCAUCAGGAUAAAUGAGGUGUAAUUUCAAAGACACCAUUAUCCUUAAACAGUGUAAAAUAAGUGAACAAGAAAUACAGAGCCACUAUCUUUUACUAGUCAGAGGAGUCAAUUUUUAAUUGUGUAAUCUCGAUCUUGUUAACAUAGCUUCCUAUUUAGAAACUUUAGUGCCAAAUAAGUAGAAGGUGCUAUAUUUUUUAACUCUGAAUAUGAUUACCCUUUCAACCAUAUUCUGCAUUUCAUUUUUACUAUAGAAGUUGUUCGUUGUCCAAUUUCAAGCUGAAAAACUAUAAAAGUCCAUUUUGACUUCACUAUAGAAGAACUAAAAGUUUUUUUUUUUUUUUUUUAACUAGGAUUAAAUUGAUAUAUCUAGAGCUUCAGUCAUUGUAAUAUGACAUUAGGAGCAUAGUCAAAUACUAGCUUUGACUAUAAGUGUCCUACUAAAGUAGCAGUCUACUGCAGAGUGCUUUUUGAUGUAUCAAAGAAAUGGUACUAUCUUUCAAACUGCAUUCAUAUUCUAACCUCCUAUCAUCAAGGUAAAGUAAUAGCAGGACUAAAGCAUGAUCUUUUUUUACAGUUUAUAGAAGUCAAUGCUAUAAGGGAUUGCCUAGCCUUCCAUUAGAUAUUCAUGUUUAAAUGAACCACAUAUAGGCUUUCCAAUCUACAAACUCCAUUAAUUAGGUUUUCUCCUUUUCUCUGUCUUUUAUUUUAGGCUUCUUUACCUUCUCCCCUGCUGACACUGCUAUAGCUUCACUAAUGACAGGCCAAGUAAUUUUUCUUUCCCUAAAACUGAAACACUCUUACUGGAACUAUUCACAAAUAUUUCAGUCUAAUACACUUGACCAAUGACUUCAUUACUUAGUGGGUAGAUAAAUUUUUACUUCAUUAUCUUUCAGAUCUGCCACAAAUCAUAUAGAAGGUUCUACCUCAUGAGACUGUUUUUGUUUUGCAAAAACAAACAAACAAACAAAAAAACUUGGUUAGUAGACAAAAUGUCUUUAAAAAAUUCUUCACAUUUAUAGCUUUGUUAUGUCUAUACUAUGUACAGCAGACAGACAGGCAGACAGAGAGUAUACAGCCAUGGGGGAAAAAAAAAAAAAAAAAAAAAAGUAGCAUUAGGAGGAUCAGAGCUGGAAGUGAAUCCCCAGAGGUGGUAAGGUAUGUGUGACAAGAUAACAGAAUUUGGGUUCCCUUUUUUUCCUGGGAACGUUUCCCCACAUAUCUCCUCCACUUUUUCUUUUCCCCUGGAAAGAGCAAGUUUUCAUCCUGAGAGUGGUAGAAUCAAUUCUAACUUUUUUGUUAGUGUGAAUUUAGGACAAAAUAUAGAACUCCACAUUCACGCAGCAAUGGGGAAGAAUCUCUAAAAAUGAUUAUUUACAAAUGAAACAAUGCAUUUAUUUUGAUAUUGUUGAAUUGUGUCACUGAAGUCCACAAGCUUUCUCACUGAAGAGCUUAAAAUACUGAAUAUAUGAUAUGAAUACUACUACAGAAUAAAAUAAAAUUUUGAUAGGAUAAAUUCAGAAGAAAAAAGCAGAAAUGAAUUAAUCUACUUUGAUUUUGAGGCAUUGAAAUAGUUUCUGUUGACUAUAUUGUUAAAAUCAGCAUGUUCUUGUACAGUAUUUAAAAUACAACCUUUCUGAAAACAGUUUUUGAUCAACUUUAUGUAGAAGAAAAUGUUAUUUUUAUUGUUUUUACCAUAAAUGCAUGAAAGGUAUUCAUAAUGACAGACACUGCUGAUGAAAAGAGCCAGAUUAACACAAUGGGUCCUUCCCACAGAACGAACAGGUAAUUAGGGAUGGUAUUGCCAUAUUCAAAAUUGCUCUUUUGUAUCUGAGUCUGUUCUAAAACUGGACCAGCAAACAGUUCAAAUUCCAGACACCUUAAUCAAGCAAAAACCAAUCUUAAUUUCAGGUCCUUCUCCUUCUAAAUGAAGUCUGCAAGAGUAACAAGAAUUGUCCAGUAAAAAUGUGAAUGUGUUGUAAAUGCUACAUGGGAACCCAUGGCUAAAUGAAAGAAAAUGAAAAUAAAAAACUGUUAGUCAUAGACUUAUAGAAUGAUUUGGGAUGCAAGAGACCUUAAAGCCCAUCCAGUUCUAACCCCCUGCUGUAUGCUGGCUGCCACCCCCCAGGUCAGGCUACCCAGGGCCCCAGUCCAACCUGGCUCCAAACACUUUUAGGGAUGGGGCACCCUCAGCUCUCUGGGCAGCAGUGCCAGUGCCACAUUACCCUCUGAGUAAAUAAUUUCCUUCUAAUAUCUAGCCUGUAUCUCUCCUCUUGUAGCUUAAAACCAUUCCCCCUUGUCCUAUCACUGUUGGUCCAUAUAAAAAGUCAGUCUCCCUCCCCCUUACUGAAAGACUGCAAUGAGGUCUCCCUGGAAGCUUCUCCUCUCCAGGUUGAAAAAGCUCUGCUUCCUCAGCUUGUCUUCAGAGGACAGGUGCCCCAGCCCUCAUCCUUGUGGCCCUCUUUAGUUCUGUGUGUAAGCACUUCAUCACAGUAAGGAUGACAGCACUGGAACAGGCUGCCCAGAGAGGCUGUGGAGUCUCCUUCUCUGGAGACGUUCAAGACCCAACUGGAUGCCUACCUGUGCAACCUGGUCUAGGGAGUGAUCUCUAGAGGUCCCUUCCAACUCCUACAAUUCCAUGAUUCUGUGAUUCUAGAUCCAUACCAACUGUUCCCUGUUUUUCUUGUGCUGGGGGUCCUAGACCUGGACACAAUAAGGAGAUAACUCUCCAGUAUAGCUGGAUGAAUCUCCAAUAUCAGGAUACAAGAUAACCCUAGUACAGAUCAAAGAAAGUAUUUAUUAUACAAAACUUUUCUCCUGCUCUCAAACGUAAACACUUUAUCUACAGAAACAUUCCAGAUUUGGUCUGGAGGGCAAACUCUGGAAAUGAAAACUCUCCAUCUGUAGAUCCACAAUCAUAGAAUCAUCAAAUCCUUAGAGUUGGAAGGGACCUUUAAAGGUAAUCUAGUCCAGCUUCCCUGCAAUGAACAGAGACAUUCACAGUUAGGUCAGGUUGCCCAGAGCCUGAUCCAGCCUCACACUGAAAGCCUUCAGGGAAAGGGCAUUCACCACAUCCCUGGGCAACCUGUUUUAGUGGUUCAUCACUCUCAGUUUAAAAGACUUUUUACUUAUAUCCAACCUAAAUCUACCCUCUUUAAGCUUGAAACCAUUUCCUGAUUUCUUAGGUGACCAAUCAGUGCAACACUCAGGAGCAAGGUCUUAGAGACAUUCCUCAUCAGGAUUUCAAUCAUUUCUUCAUUUCAAUGUCAAAUGAUAGGUGGUAGCCAUCAUUGUUGAAUCAGUUCAUACUAACUAUGCAUCAAGACAUGCUCCCCCCACUAUCCAGAUUCUUCCACUUUCUCUUAGAUAUACAGAUCAAAUUUUAUUAAAUUCUUCCUUCUUGUCAAAGUGAAUUACAAGCAUCAGAUGGAUAGGGUUGAACAGCUUAUAAUGUGCACAUAGUAACAAUGCUUCCAGAUACAGUAUUGAAUGAAUGAUAAUGUAUGCUGAUACUGGCUCAGCUGACACGCUAUGUGGCCAAAAUUCAUUGUUACAUCAGAAAAACAAAAAUCAGGAAGGACUGUGAAGAAGGAACUUUCUUGCCAAAUUCAAAUCACAAUAAUGUUGGUAUCACUUGGGAAUAACAUAACUAAAUGGAUCUGAUUUUGCUGGCUGCAGCAGAAAUGACCAGAAAGGAAUGCUGGGCAGACCUUGCACUUCUCUGUAUAGUGCUUCUUCUGCAGCUCACGUGCUCCCAAGUCACACUGUAUAACAGCAAGUACAUGACAGCCUGGUGCCACUCUCUUGUUUCACAUUGUUCUUAUAUGUAACCCUAUUUUGCCUGCAUAAAUAGGGAGGAAUUUCCAAUUCUGCAGAGAUACUACAAGUUUAGUCAUGAAGAUAAUUAAGUCCUUUGGGCUUGAACUACCCAAACAUUUCAUACUUGAAAGAAAUUCAGAUAUGACUCUUAAUGCCUGGACUACUGCCAUCUAAACAGUUUGGAUUCAUUUGAGGUUUAAUAUUAGCUCCAAAUUCUUCUUCACGUCAAUUCAUCAUUCAGAUAUUUACUAUUCCAAUUAUUAGUAUUAUAUAAUAGUCAGACAUUCUAAGAUACUGUACUGCCUACUGCUACCUACAUAUGAAAGCAAGCAUACAUCUUUCAAAAACUUCAAAUUUAAUCAGCAAAAAAUAGAAAAAAAAAUAUAUCAAAGAAGAAAAAAGUUAUUAAAGCAUUUUUCCAAAGAAAAGGAAACAUAGGAAGAGCCCAGUCAGUUGCCCCCUAAAAAAACACCAAUGAUCUGGAGGGAAACUCUUGAAGAUUAUAAUCUCCCAAAGCAAUGGGAAACUUCGUUACUAGGUCAUUUUACUAUGAACUUUUUGCAGCAAUAAUUAUUUCUCAUUUUUGUUGAUCACUGCAGUCAAAUAAAAUUAUUUUUACACAUUCCAGAACAUAAAGAACUCCAGCACUGAAAUAAAUAUUUUUUCCAUUGACAGAAACUUAGAUCUUGAGGAAUUUACCAAAAAUGUAGGUACGUCUUGAUACAACUGUGAUGGUCACAUAAAAGAUACCUUGAUACCGAAACAGGAACACUUGCUUAAAAUCAAGCUUCAGUGUCUAGAGAUCUUUGAAGGUAAGGAGAAAGGCAGAAGAGCUGCAUUUAUCUAGGAUUACAGAAUCACACAGAAUUGCAGGAGUUAGAAGGGACAUCAAGAGAUCAACAAGUCCCCAUUAGGACAUGCACCUCUGUGCAAGAUUCUCAGCAAUUUUACUUGCAUUUCUAAGUAGAGCUCCUAGAACCACCUUUGUUUGGAAAUUACUGUAGUAUUUUAGCAUCAAAACAUGACAAUGUCUGAUUAAUUUUAUAUUAUCGCUAGCAGUAAAUGUGUGCAUAUCAGUAUAUACACAUGCUAUGCCAAACAUUUUUUGAAUUAAUAUAAUUUAGGUCACUCAUAAGCCAUUUGAAAAACAUAAUUGCAAGAAAUAAAAUGAAACCUUUUAAAAAUUUUAUUGCAGUGUAAGGUUAACUCUGAGCUGACUAAAAUCUGGAUACCUUUCAAACCUAUGUUCCUCAUGUGGAGAGCAGUGGGAUAAUUCAAGCUUAGCUAUCUGAUACACUUUCUUCAGGUCUCUGCAGAAGUAAUUAAAACAGAAUAUGGAUAAAUCAUUUGCCAACUUUCAUUUUUAUUCAUAGGCUAAAUUUUAUUCUAAAACUAAUACAAAGCCAUAUUUUACUGUUGAUCAAUGUAAAUCCGAAAUGAUUGUGAGAUAGAAUACGAUUCACUUAUAUUUAAGACUAACAAAUGAAUGUCUUUUUCACAUAGAAAGGGCUUCUGAAGAGUUAUGUAAUUCAAUUUUGUCUUGAAAAAAAUGUGAACUCAGAAUUAUCAAUACUCAUGAAGCAGGUGAAACUGCGUCUUUAUUAUGAAUAGGAGGGUUACUUACAUGACUUGCUUAUGAUCUGACACCCAGAUUUAUUACCUUGUUUUGGACUGAUAUUUUUAUAAUAAUUUCCUGCCUCUUUAGCUUCUCUUUCAGUGGUGAUGUAAUGCAUUACGAAAUGAAGAGAUGAGACUGAAUCUCAAAGAUCUUAGAAAGUUCUGUCCAGUUGAUUAGGGACUGAAAAGAUUUUUUUACCUUUCAAGGUUAAAUAUUCCCAGAUGAGUCCUAUGCCUAAAAGCUUAGUCCUGCUGUUUUUCAACUAAUCAUUUGCAAAACUGAAGGAAAAAUAAAAAUUAAAAAGGUAAGACAGAAAAAAAAAAAAAAAAAAAAAAGAGAGACUUCUGGUAGGUGAGCCACAGCAGGGCAAUUAAGAUGAUAUGGCAGAGGUAGACAUCUGCUCCUAGACAGAUACAGUUCCACUGAUGCUAUCUAUAGCUGCAAUCCUUCUGAGAGAUAAACAACGUGCGAGAGCAACGCACAGAAGGAAAUACCACACUGAGAAAAUGAUGAUGGGAGACCAAGCUUGCGGCCCCUGUGGUCUGAGAAAGAGUGAGAGGCAGCAAAAGAAAAAGGGAGGGGUGACAUGUGGGGCCUGUACCAGGCACACGCAGGUGACUGAGUCGUAUGAUGGACACACAUCAAGAUGUAAAGCUGGAAGCUGUGUGAGAACUGACGCUGGAGGGGAGCAGAAUCACAGCAAAGAUGAAAGGUACAAUAUGACUGAGAAAAAGAGGAUGGAAAACCUCUCUCUAAGCUCUAUGUAUAAAGCUACAGUUAAACUAUGAUGAAAUUAAAAAUAAUAAUAAUAAUAAUCUUUAACAGAUGAUUUAUUGACUAAGAUUUGAAGGCUUGGAUAGUUUCUCAGACUUUCAAACUCAUAUUUAGGUUCCUCAAAAACUUCAGCUAUACUCCUCAGGGUAGAUGGUUACUUAUUUCUAUUUCAUAUGACUGCCAUAGUGAUGUUUAGACACAGAAGUAGUAUUUCCCCCUCCCCUUCAUGCUUAGUGCAAAACAAACCAAAAGGAGGAUGUAGCAUCUGUUCCAAAUAACUUUCAAGCCAAGGAAAACCGACACUGUUUCAUUUAAGCAGUACUUGGAGGGAGAGGACACCAGGUAAUCAGCUCCCCAAUCUCAGAGAUAGGAGUUCUGAGAAGGUAAGGCAUAUCACCUCCAACCAUCACUGGUAAUGUGGUGGUUCUUUGUGUCACCUGCCCCUCAUGACAUCUGCCUCUCAGUUUGUUGAGAGGAGAGCUUGUUUGCACUCCUCUCAUGUAAGGAGUCUGGCCUCCUAGCAAAACUGAGGGAGCAUCCUUCAUCCCUCCAUAUUUCCUUCACAGCAAUGAAGUCUUAGCAUUCAUUUGCCUUAAAACAAAAGAAAACAAAAACAAACAAACAAAAAACCUCAGGAUUUAAGAAACUCUGGAAAACUUACAGCAAGAAUUUGAGGCCAAGGAGUUUGCAGAGAGCGCAGGCCACCAGCAGCCAGCCAGGAUAUCCUGGUGGGGAGGUGCUCUGCCUUGAAUGAUGUGCUCUCAUUCUCUUCCAGGCUGGACCUAGGGCUUGAUUUGCUUCCACAAAAGAUCAACAGCAUCGAAGUCUCAUCCUGUCAUCCUAUCUCACGCCGUUACCUCAAACCAAAAAUGCAACUCGUAAUAAUUCUUCCUGGUUACCCUGUGGUCUCAUUUGGUUAAAAAUAAAAGUUUCUUUUCUCUGUCUGGGAACAAGACAGCAAUAUCAAGAAGAAGAGUUUAAUUAAAAACUGGAGCUAAUCUCAAGACCUCAUGCUUUGGAAUUUAUUUAUUUAUUUUUAAUGUCUGCGUAUGAAAGGCUCUUGUCCAGAAAAACCUUGCCUAGAAAGUCUGAAGUUUUCUGUGUAUCUGAAGGAGGCAGAGGUGGACUUAAUGCCUUUAACAAGCAAUUCACUUGAGGCUAGAUUCUGCUAUCCUAACUCAGUUUAUACCCAAAGGUGGCAAAUUUAAAUACUUCUUCUGUCGACAGGUUGCUCAUAAAUAGAUAUAAACAGACGGCAUUUACCUCCGAUGUAUUCAUUAUGGAAAAUUGUGCAAUAAGCCUUAUUGUUUGUUUAACUUCACUCGUCUUCCUUAUUCUAGAGUGCAAUCAUGAAUGUUUGAGUGAUGUAGAUGUUGGUUUUAGUUAGUUGUUUAUUGUUUUCGUGGUUUUUUUUUUUUAGACUCUUGCAUUUUUCUUUCUUUCUGCUUAUUUUUAAUUUAUUUCACAUUCACACACAUAAGCCUCAACUUUUCUUUCUGAGACAUGAAAGCUGGAAAAACUCUGUUCUGUGAGUGCGUGCAGAAAGUGAAAGAAAAACAUAAAUGGUAAAUAUCUAAUGUACAUUAUUCCAAAAGCUUAAUUUUUGAAUAUAAGUGUGAAAUAAGGUCAUCCCUUUAUUAAAAUUCACCUAGAUCUACGUUAAAGUAUCAAAACAGGAAUGGUAUCAGGAAAGAACAAAGCCCUCCUACAAAUGUGUUAGUUAUUAAUGUAUAAUUUCUCCUUUUAGAGUACAAUUCUUUCAGCAUAUCCAGCAAAUAAUUCAAAUAUUUGUAGGCCAUCAUAAAAGAUCUGAUAAUUUAAGCUAGUAAAGGAAAGCUGUAAUCUUGGAGAAAUCCCCUUUGGAAUAUCUACAGUGACCAUCUAUCAACAGAGAAAGACAGUUCCAGAGAUAAAACCCCUAAUGUUCAUCAGAGUGUAAUAAUUUUUGGACAUUACAAGUGCUAAUGUAGCUUUGCUAUUCCCAGCUAGUAAUUCUUGGGGAAUCUGUCAGCUAUGGAAAUCUGUGAGAUUAGCCCUGAAAUAUAUACUUGAUUGAUAACUAUACUGUUUCUAUUAUGCUAUGGUCCUGCUUUUUUUUUUUUUUUUUUUUUUUUUUUCGAUUUUUAAGUGUAGAGUGUAAUAUCUGGGGCUUCUGAAAGAAACUAAAGAUUUACUACAGCAUAGAAGUACCCUUCAUUCCUUUUCUUUCAUGCUUUCUAAUGCAGAAAUAAAUAUGCAUAAAUAAUGCAGAAAUGAAUAUUCAUAAACAUGAAACUUAACAUGAGGAACUUUAGAAAAACAUUUAAAAAUAUAUUUUGGUGUAUGUUGCAUUAUUCAAUUUUAACCUACCAUGGUACUUUCAGGUGACAGAUUGUCAUUAUGACUAUGCUUCCUUUUUCACUGGAGUCUAUCACUUCAGAGAGUUCCCACCCCCAUCUCAGCUUUGCUUUGCAAGCUUUUUUAUCUUUUCUACCUUGCUAGAGGCAUUAUUAGGGCAGUUCACCUUUGACCAAAUGGGCAGACGAACAUCCAUCCUCUGGAGCCAAUACUAGUGCUGUUUGGUAGAUGAGCUCUCAAAUGGUACUGAACUGUGACCUCUUCUUCUGUUCAAAGACUAAAUACAUAAACUUGAGCCUCCAUUGGUGCCAAGCCUGGGAACCUGAGUUGCUCCCUAAUCCCAGGUCUUGCAGCCAGCAGCACAAUGGGCAGCUCACCAUGCCAGUCAGCCAGCCUGAAAGAAUGUCUUUAUUCUCUCUUCCUCAACAAAUUGCUUAUUGUUUGGCCCACAGGCUGCUAGACCUUGUGAACUGUCCAAAACUUUAUUGCCUUUCUGUUAAACUUUCUUCUUUUUUCCCUUUGAUUCUGUUUAUAAAUGAAAUGAAUUUAUAUUUUCACUUCUUAGCAGUAUCAUUUUUAAAGAUGACUGUUACUUUUAAUCUUUUUUUUCAGAGUACAUCUGCCUUUUAGAAGCCUGCAGGAACCACAGAAAUAAUGCAAGCUCUGCAGGUUUAGGGUCCUUAGAAAGAAGGGUCUGGGAAAAUGCUAAAUGUUAUAAUACAGUAAAAUGAAGGCAAAUGAUUCAGGUGUUUCCAAAGAUACUGUUUCUCUGCUUUUGGCCUCAUCUUGACUGUGACUGCCCUGUGUCUAUUGUAUAAACAGUGAGUAUAGAACAUAACACUUCUCUUGGUACCCUACAAAAUGGAGUUGUUUAAGGGCAGUUUUAUUUAUUGAAAGUUAAAGCAGAUUGCCUAGUUUGUUAUUUAUCUGUUGAAAUAUUUCUGGAAGCCUCUUUUGUCUUCUGAAAAUGUGACUGCAGGACAAGCAUAAUGUAAGUUAGAGCUAGGCAGAGCACCUGCAGUUUAACAUUGAUAUUGCAAGGUUCAGCAGACUUACCCUAGGAGAAGGAAUGCUCCUCAUCUGUGAGCUCACCACAUGAAGAGAGGAACUGUGAUACAUAAAUAUUGCCAAAAUCAAUACAGGACUGAGGGCUCUUCUUUUCUCUCAUCUCAGUAACCUUUCAUGGAGAAAUGUCCACCUGCUAUCUGGAGAACCUGAAUAUACAGAAGGCCUAGUUAAAAUCAAUUUAAAUACUUAUGCACUUCUGCCUUCAUUUUUUGAACAUACUGUUUAACAAAGAUGUCAAACGUACAGAGUUUUCUGGAGCCAGAGAUGACCUAGGAAUUAUCCAGAUUCCUUGAAAGUUUAUGCAUGUGUGUUUAUAGGCAUAUAUAUAUAUAUAUAUAUAUAUAAAAUUUAAUACCCUUUCAAGUAUAAGAAUGGCAGCACAAGAGUGGAAGAAUUGCAAAACUAAAAUGUCCACAUUAAGCUGAUGCAUGGUACAUAUCAGAUGAUAUAUAUACUGCCUUAUUGUUCAGUUGUGACUCAGGGAGCUAAAUGCAUAAUUUAAGAUAUAUGUAUAGUCUAAGGGUCAAAUGCUGUCAGUUACAUGAGUGUAAAUCAUGAGCAAUUGCACCAAAGUGACUGGAGUUGCAGUACCCUGGAUUUACACAAGUGUUACUGAAAGCAGAAUGUGAGUCAAUAUGUGUCAUCGAUACAAUUGAGUUAGUGGUAUUGAGGGAAUUUUAUGGUAUGCAUGAACCUAAAUUCUUCACAUUUUUCAUUGAUUAAAAUAUUACUUUUAAUGCUUCUAUGCUUCUAUUUUUGUUACUGUUUUUAGAAGAAUAAGUGUCCCAAACUCUGAUUCUGUAAGUGGUAUUCCCACCAAAUUUUCCCAACCCCAGUUAAUAAUGAUAUGGCAAACAUUACAGAGCUGUAGAAGCGUACUUUCUUUACCUAUAUUUCAGGCCAAGAUCUUAAUUUAUAUAAAUGCAGAAUUCUGAACCUCAUGCAGCCUGUUUCUUGGGAAACAUCUGACUACACAGAGAUACAUCCUUACACUCACCUGCUUCCAUUAAUGAUUUCAUGCAUAGCAAUGAAGGGCUAGGAAACAAAAUUUAUUAGACAUAUAGGACAGCAGGAUUUUGAUGCAGGAGGGAGGGCUGUGUACCUGGCUGAAGGGAAUGGGUAUGGAGCAUUGGCAGCUGAAAGUAAAAUCAGCUGUGCUAUAAGAGCAUGGGACAGCUUUCUUAACUGAUUCUUCCUGGGUUUGUUAUUGAGGAGUGCAAGGGAAAGAAAAUAGCUUUGCACCAAAUCUAAGAUACAACUCUAUGGCACAAAUCAAGGAGGUAUAAAAACUGAUAAUCUAUUGGGGAAGUAGUAGAGUACCAGCCAGAUAUUCCUGGCUUUCAAUGACCUUAUUUUGCAUGGAGGAAGAAUAUAUGAUUUUUAGGUUUGAGAGGAGGUUUUUAAUUCUGAAAGGAGGUUAUGUGUUAAAUAUAUGGUAGCAGUCUCUUCAAUAAUAGAAGUCAAGGCCCUUACUUGUGGAGCCAGAAUCUGGUAUUCUAUCACAUAAAAUAAUGCCAUUAUUUCUUAACAUACUUUUAAAUUGAAUGCAUUAUUUUUAAAUCACAUUUUUAUGAUAUUCUUGAAUAUCUAGAAAGAUUAAAAAAGCCUGAAAGUAGAUAGUAGAUUCUCCAAUAUUCGUAUAAUCAAAAAUGGUUGAUUGAAUUUGGAACACACAGACAAAAAAAGAAAGCCAUUUAAGAUUACAGUGAUCAGCGGGGGGAGCUUAUCACUUCAAAAGAAACAGAAAAAUGUGUUUGAACUAAGAAGGCCUGAAUGGAUCUCAACAUCAUAAUGAUAAUUACAGUUAGGGUACAAUUUAUACUAAAAGUACUAUCAUCAAUUAUGAUUGGUUUUCACUGAAUAAAGAUCUAGGAAUUUUUUUCAAAAUGAAGACACAUUUGUCUAUGCUCAACACGUACAUGCACCCUUAGCCAGUUAGAGUACUGUGUAGGCAUAGAUUUGUCAGGAUUCUUUGAUCCCAAAAGGAUUCAUAGAAGAAAAAUUUCUCUUUCUGAGAAAUGAUCUCUCUAGAGACUGAUAGUGAUGAUACAAUAGGCUGGAGUUGCUAUUAUUAAAAAAAAAAAAUUACUACUUUUUCUGACUAUGUUUCUUUUUUCCCAGUGGGAUUCUGAUUCCAGACGUUCUACCAGCCUGACAUCCACUGGGAAAGUGAUGACACCAUAAAUUAUUUAGAGGUUUGAAAACCAUGAGAACUACUGUAUAUAACCAGAUUGGAUUGACUUUUUAACUCUUUUGAUUAAUAAUACAUAAAGCCUUGGAUAUGUGAAGUGGUUGAGUGCUAACCUGUUAACAAAAGGAGUAGCAGAGAUGAAUUCUAACAUUUCUCAUAAGUUAUUCUACUUAACACAUUGGCCAAACAAAACAAACAAAUGAAAUGCUCUGCCUUAGUCUUAUACCUUCAGUGCACCAUCAAUAUUUGAUGGCUACCUAAUGUCUCUAUAUAUCUGGCCACCAAUGAUAUUUUGAUCAUCUGGCUUACCAAUUUCAGUCUUAGCUUCUUUUUCCUGUAUUUGUGAAAACAUGCCACUAGAAAGUAGAAAAAGAGUUUCAAUAUCCUGGUUUCUUUUCUGACUUUCAUUUUAACAUUACUAACUGCUCAGAUGUGAAAAUGAUAUUUCAGCCUUCAAAAAAGCAAGUGAAAACCAGAAUUUCCUAGGUUUAUGGUAUUUUUUCUCUGCAGCAGGAUGGGAGUAGACAUUUGCACUUCUACAGAUAGAUUUCAUGUUCUGCAUUUCUGCUACUGACCCUGUUUUAAUUAUCCACUUGUUUCUUAAGUUUUGUUCUUUUAUAGGUUGCUUUGGGUGGAGCUUUCAGAGAAAAGAGACACUGUUAUUUCCUUCCUAUUGAAAUACAGAAGAUGAUGCUCAUGACAGCCUGCAUUUCUGAGCAACAGAAAAAGUGACAAGAGACGUCACUGUGCUUCUGGGUUGCCUGGCCCGUACUUCAGGAGAUAGGCUAUUCAGGGUGAUUUCAGAGCAACACAUUAAUUUACAAUAGAAAUAUAUAUGUAUAUAUAUAUUUCUGUGCAACUCUCUGGAUGUUUUUGUAUUAUCCCAAAUGACAUUUGACUUCUUUAGAUGUAGAAACAAUAUGAAACACAUUUCUUUACUCAUUCCUGUGCACUUUUCCCUUGCGAUUUCCCAUAGAAUUCAAUUUUCAACUUCUUUCUGCACAGGUACUGGGUAUCUAUUCAACCUGCUGCAUGUCCAGCCAAUAUUAAUCAAAUACUAAUACUAUCAGUUACAGAUACUAGUACAUUCUUUUUACCACCUGAUAUGCCCACAGAAUUCUCCUUCCUUGAUCCCUCUAAUGUCAGAAAUACCUGGAGGCCCAUGGCCCUCUUCUAAUUUUUUUAAACCUUGCAGACUAACCAUUCAUCCUCUCCCUGUCCAGUACCAAUGAUGCCUCACCAAUCAUUCUGGAAGCUAUAAGAUCUGUGUGAGAUUAAUCUAUGUUUAAAAGAAUGAAUAAUUCAAUUCAAAAGCAUGCUUUAAAAUUUUUGUUAGUCCAGGCUCCUCAAUUUGUUCAAUUAUUUUGUUGUAAAUUUUUAGUGAUGCCUUUACUGCAAUAUAUUUGAAUUUCCUACAAUAUGAGUAAAACGAGUCUCACCUCAGCUUUAAGAAAUGAGGACCAAUUUAAGAAAAUUAUAGCAGCCCACCAAUUACACCUGAACAAGGCCUUGCUUGUGACACCAAUAAUAAAUUAAAUUAUUCAGCAAUAUUUAUUAAAUGUUAAUGAGUACCAUCACCUGACUUCCACAAACAGAAGUACUGUGUGAAAUCUGUUGUCAGGUACUGUUUCCUUUUCUGAAAGGAAGUAUCAUCCAAUUUGCGUACAGAUUCUCUCCCCACUCCAAAAAGGAAGUAUAUCCAUAAAAAUAAUUAGAAUCUCUUCUAUAUAAAUGCAUAUGUCCCCCUUCUAUUCUUAUAUUCCCGCCAUAUCAAUAACAGUGUAGUCACAUUGAUUUCCUAGUUAUGAUUAAAUAUAGCACUCAAACAAUUUAUUCUCAUUCUUAAAAAAAUUCUAGAUGUGGUGUUAUUUUUGCAUAUUUUCUUGCUGCAUCUUAAGGUCUAACCGGGUGACUGAGAUCAGCAUCUGACUUUACCAGAAUAGCAUGGAUCUUAGUAUUUUUUGCAUAGUAUCUUUCAACAGCCAUAAUAAAUAAAUAAAUAAACAAACAAACAAACAAACCAACAUUUGUAUUUUUUUUCCAUCUGGGAUUAUGUGACAAAAUGAUCCCCUGCAUCUAAUCAAUUAUUUUUCUUCUCUAUCUUUUGCAUUUUCCUGCAAAACCAUUUGCAAGUAUAACAGAAAGAUUCUUCAGAGAUAAUCUGGUGAUUAUUUCAAAAUCAACCUCGGACGCUGCAGGCAUUAAAAGAUGAAAAUUGCCUGAAGUCCACUGUUGUACAACAGAUCUGUACCUCUGGACUCCUGUCCUGAGGUAAAAAUGCAAACCAGAGAGAUAUUUAGAAUCAUUCUGACAGUUCAUAAAAUUAAGCAGGGAUUAGAGAUUCUCUCGGAAAUAAAUAAAUAAAAGGUAUAAUGCUACAGGGCCAACACAAUGUUAAUCACAUCUCCUUGCAACAGGUAUUACUUCCCCAACACUUUGGGGAAGAAAAAGAAGUCAUAUAAUUAAGCCUGGCAUGUGUUUAGCACUGGUGAUUCCAAUUUAAAUAUCUGAGUGCAUGAAUUCAACAUGUUAAUACAUAUACAUAUGCAUACAUGCACAUACAUAACUAAUAUAUAAACUGCACAAUCAGUUUAAUUGUAUAGGUUUCUACAGAAACCUAUGCAGAAGCCUGUAUACAGAAACCAUUUGUAGGCUUCUACAGAAAUGUUGUGUAUCUUAAGCACCCUAUUUUCCUCUGAAUUUAAUGGAUUAGCCCUGAUGAUAGAAACACUUGAACAUAUUCUUAACAUUACAUAACAAGAGUGCCUUGCUGAUUUUAGGAUAACUUUCAAUCCACAUGAAUUUAAGCAAAAGUUUAACAGUCUACUGGGAAUGUACUCUGUGCUGCCAGUCAUUUAAAACACACAAUUUAUAAGAAAAGAAUUGAAACUACUGUAGCAGACAUAGAUGGUUUUGAUCCCUGUUGCAUCUGCAGCAGGUAAGCCCAAGAAAUUGCAAACAUGAUUAAAAUGAAUACACAGCAAAAAGUGCACAGUGACCACAGAAAUAUGUCUGGGGCAAGCAUGGACUUUUCCAGUCAGACUCCCAAAUUUCCCCACCCACCUUUCAAACUUCUCAGUAUGGUUCAAAAUGUCUCCUCAGCACUGGUUUGCUUAAAAGGAUGCCUUUCCUUUUCUUCCUGGAUGAGCAAACUCUAAUGUACUGCAUUUACACAGUGUAUAAAAUGACUCUCAGUGUAUUAGAUUAGUAUCAUGUUUCAAUAUCUUUGGAAAAUGUUCAAGUUAAAUUAACAUGUUUCUAACAAACUGAAAAGUCCAAAAUAGAACUAGCUGAAGUGGAUUAAAAGAUUUUUUUUUCUUUUUUCUUUUUUUUUUUUUUUUUAGUACAAAAAUAAAUUAAAAAUAACUGCCUAGAGAAUUUUUUCAAGAUAUAUUUUAUGCUCAAAUUACAGUCCCUUUAUUUAAGCUUUGAAUUUUACUCAACCUUCUGUUAAUGAUGUAGAUAUUUUUUGAUAAUAAAUAUUAGCAAAUUUCCUGAUUCAACAAAAGAAGGGAACAUUGUUUUACACAGUAUAUCUUAGACAUCGGAAAUGUAAUUAAUUUUCAUCUUUAAAAAUUUCUUAUGAAAAUUAAUUUCCAUCCCAUUUUAGUCCUGAAUGUUGACUGGAGCUAGGAUAAUACAUCACACAAAUGUUGAUUUAAAUAUUUAAACAAAUUCACUUACUUUGGAUUUACAUCCCCUUUGGGCUCUACUUUCCAUGAAUACUCUGAUAAAUAAGCUUACUGUAAGGACAAUCUGCUGGGAGGGCAAAUUAUAAACAAAAAUUGAAGAAUUCAUGUGGGAUAUGAAUUUUUGAAUUCUAAUCAUCAAUUGUUGCACUAGCAAUUAAAGCUGAUUGGAGGACAGUAAUUCCAUGCUACAUUAAUUUUCAAGACUGUGUCUUCAUGUCUAGUUUGUUUUGGUUUGCUUUUGUCUCAUUUUCUGUACAAAACACAAACUCUUUACACUACUAAAGUGAAAUUGCCUUUAGAAUCAUAGAAUAAUAGAAUCACAAGGUUGGAAAGGACCUACAAGAUCAUCUAGUCCAACCAUCCUCCCAUUACCCUUGCUACCACAAGCUGCUAAACCAUAUCUCGUAGUUUCUCAUCCAGAAGCCUCCUGAACACUGCGAGAGAUAACGACUCCACCACCUCCCUGGGCAGGCCAUUCCAGUGCCUGACCACAGUCUGAGAAAAAGUUUUUUACAUACAAGUAUGUCUGCGUAUUUCAGCCAAGGAUACAACAAAAAGAGAGAAGUCCUUUCUCAGACUGAAUCACAUUUUACUCAUUUUCAUCGAUGAUUUUUAUCUGUGAUGACUCAGUUAGCUGGAGGAGAAACCUGUUCCUAAGCUUUCUACAUCCAAGGCCGCUGCUCUAACCACAGAGCUGUCAGAAAAACCAAAACGUCCACUUCAUUCAUUUUCAUUCUGCAAAAAAUUUCCAUUCAUACAAAAUAGAUAUGUAGCUUUCAGAAUUCAGAGUGCUCCAAUUCAAAAUGGCUCCCGUCUAACACAUGAAUAUUAAGUAACCACAUCUCCUGAGGUAAGGCUGGAUUCCUGACCCAUCGCAGAUUUAUAGGGGAGCAGGGAAAAGUCCUGAAACAGCAUUUAUGGCAUUCAUCCCCCACCACUCCCAGUCUCAUUGAGUCAGGCCACCCAUGUGGCAGCUGAGACUGUUCCUUAAAUAAUCGUCUGGAAGAGCUAAGGAUGACUUUUCACAUUGAAACAUUUCUUUUCUGUAGAAGGAAGAAACUGAGAAGAGACAUGGGACCUGUGCUCUAUAAGAAAAGUGAUACCAGUCUGGGCUCCGCAACUGUCAGCCACCUUCCAUCCCUGCAAGGAGUCAAGGCUUGCACACAGCAGUUUCAGGGUGAAUCUGGAGACCAACAAGCUUCAAGGGUAAAGAAAGCAAGAGAAGUUUCACCUCCUGUCCCCACAAUUUCCUCUGUCUGGGUUGAGUUCCCAGAACAAAGUACAUCUUCAUCGUAGUCUCACAAUGAGAUAAUACCUUGAUGCAAACAGCUUGCUUUCUGCCACUGACUGUUGACACUAGCACAGCCUCAACCAAGUCAUGCUCAUGUCAGUUCGUUCCAACGCAAACAGUAUGAACUUUCACUUUGGAAAUGUUAUGGACUUUGGGGGAACAGUUUAUACAUUGCUAAGCCUAAUGUCAUAUAAGAGUCCAUAACUGCAAUUUAAAGGCCAUAUUAACGAAUAGGCUUGUAUAAAGGAAUUAACAGGGUGUGAAUUUGUGUAUGUGUUUCUGUACAAUUUGUUUGGUGUCUCUGCAUGCAAAGAAGGGCUUAAGCAAGACCUCCUCCUUUCUGAUUUUAUCUCUGAUUUGACAAGUCAUAGUGCUCUCAGUAAGCAGGACUGCAUUUUUGACAAAGUACCUGGCACAUGUUUAGUAAUUUUAGCCAGAAAUUACAUCAUAACAAGUUCUUCUUAUAGACAGCUGAUGAGUGAGCUUUGAUUUAUUUUUAUUUUUGUCCUCAGGAUGAUGGUUUUCUACUUAUGUCAGUGGCCAGUAGUAUAACAAAUCCUUCACCGUAAGUAUGUGUGCAUCAAUUUUUCAGCAAACACUGGCCUUUUGAGGUGAAAAGUUGCACUGUCACUCAUUUGCAAAUUGACUUCUCUCUUGGUUGCCAAAGCCAGUUAAUUUGCAAAUCAACAUUUUACAUGAGCCCUUUAAGCCAAUCCAAGUACUCAGUGGCUGCCAUUGCUAUGUAAUUAGUGUCUAAAGCACUUAAAAUUUAAUUAAUUUUAAAAAAUCAAAAAGAUCAGUGAAUUUGCUCUGUGCAUGGCCAGAGUCUCUUUUGCUGACUGAAUAGAAGAUCUCGAUUUAGAAAAUUACAGCAAGGCUCUGAUAUGGUUGGAAAGGAAUGAAGGAUAUGCACAUAGGCUGACGCAGUCAGAAACGUUAAUUUCACAUAUCUUCAGAAAAAUAAAACACAACCUUCUCAUAUUAAUUCACAAACUGCAUGACAGGUACUAUAAAAUACCAGCAAAUGAGAGUUAGAAGAGGAGGAAGUAGUCAGUGCAAUCAGAGUUGCAUUCCUUUAAACCAGGUUUUAUGCUCGUAGAAUGUAACCUGAAAUAGGUAGAAAUUUCAGCUUUUGUCUUGAAUAGGAUGAAAGAUGUGAAAACUUUGUGGUAAUUAUUUUGAUUUAUGAUGGAGACAGUAUCAGGAGAGAAGUUUGUUUUGGGUGAAAUAUUCAUCUUUUUUGGAGGUAACUUUCAAUUACAAAUUCUUCAUCCAUUUGGGUUAAUCUGGUCUGAAGAAGGAAGUUUCACUGAGGAAGAUGCCAACCAGAACUACAGAGAAGAUGUCUUCAUUGUUUGGAGCCUCUGGCUAUAGAACAGUUAGGUACUGACAAGACAAGGUAUGUGUAGAAAUAGGAUACAUUCUAGAAUGUAGUCUCUUUAAAAGAUAGGCAGGUGGUUGGAGAGAAAACAAAAACAAACAAACAAAUAAACAAUAUAAAUAACAGCAAAACCAGAGAGAUAAUACCCCAAAGAUUACCCCAAUAGAUUUAUUAUGUGUAGUAAAAUCUAUAUUGAUUUCUUCACAUUGGCUCUAUUAACCUUAUUUAAACUUUUCUAUCCUUUCAUGUCUUUUUGGUACUUUUCUUACAUUGGCACAUAAAUGGUUUUAUACUCAACUAAAUGUCUGUCAGACAAAAUUAUAUUUACAAAGAUUGUAGACUAGUCACUGAGGUGGUAGAACUCACACAAAGCUCAAAGGCCAUCUAAUAUUUCUGCUCUUCGUAAGUCUGAUGGACUUACUAGUUGUCUUUACUAACAUACUGAUAUGCAUAAUGAGGAAUCUUGGACAAACUCUGUGCAGAAUUCAGGGCAAAAUAUGCCCUUCUGUUGCUUUAUUUGCACUUCAUAUAUGUCCCUGAGGCAAGCUAGAGGGAGAACUUGCAUCACAAAUGUCACCAUCAUCUGUCCAGUAAUUCCCCAGCAAAUAUCUGGUUGUAUUACACUUGGGUGAGUAGAGUGUGAGCAAGCAAUUAUGGUAGAGCAGCUGACCCACUGCACACUCAUAGGCUAAUAUACCUCUUGAGAAGUAGCUAAUUUGCCUAUAGGUGUGGUUUCUGCCUUGUAGUCCCAUCCAUUAUUUUUAAAACUCUAGAAUUAUUUGUCAAACCUAAAUCCUCAACCCAAGUCAGAUGUAGAAUGGCACUAAGUGUGACUUAGAUAAACUCCAGAAAAAUCAAUUAAUAUAAAUAGUAUAAAAAAGCUACAAAUGGAAGCAAGUAGGGCCCAGGAUGAUUUUUCCGAUGGACAUUUUUGCUGUAACAUACAUAAUGCUAGCUGGCAAACAGCAAGUUUUGACACUGUUAUUUGUCCAUGGCUGCUCAGUGUGUAAAUCAGAAUGAUGCAUAUAGUCGACACAUCAGGGGUAUAUGGAAAACAAACUGCCCAAUCACUCUGGGCCUAACAACUUAGAGACCACAAUGAUAUACUGUAAGGUUGGUACUGCUGACUUCAAAAGCAGUAAAUCACACUACCGCCAGAAGGUAUUGACAAAAUUAAGCAACCAAGAUUGAACAGAAAACAAAAGCUUUUCUGCAUAUUUAGUUAUUUCAUAUUCAGAUCUUCUGAAACUUAUUUUAUACCCUUUUUUGGAUUUUAUGAAAUUACUUUAAUUCUGUAUGGGUAGUGGGUUUAUAAAGCAAUUAACAAUGCAGUCAUAAGGAUCUGUGGCUGUAAUCUGUACUUCCCCAAACUACAUUUCACCAAGUAUUAACUGUGAUACCAUAAAGAAAAUCCUAUAUUUUAUCAGAAUAAUGCAGGAGGUUGCUGAGUAAGUGUUGGUUCAUAUUAGUUAAUGCAUUUCAUAUAUAAUGUACAGUAAGGCAAAAAAUAAAAUGGGUUUAUUGGUCACACCUCUUUUAAAUGCUGUCAGAGUAGAAUACUUCUAAUUAGUUGUAAAGAAUAUCCUGUGCCUUAAGAACUCCUGUAAUUGGUGUUAGUGUGUACCCAUCUAAAGGUACAAAUCUGAGAUGCAAACUCUGGGAAAAUGUAAAUCCAGAUUUUGGCAGAGUGGCUUGAUCCUGUCUAACUUCAGUAUUCAAAACAACAAUUGGAGAGAAUAAUUAAUUCUGAGUUUGGCCCAGCGAAAACAUAAAGGCACAGUCUCAUAGUGCUUUUCUCUCUGCCCAGCGAGAAAUGAUAGUUAUAAGCUCUAGAAAAUAUUUCACAGGAGAUGUUGGUGUGCAUCUGACUUUCCUUCAUAUUUUAUCAGGGAUUUUUCACAUAAAGAAGCAAAAUUACUGCCCUUUGACUACUUGCUCCAACCAACAAACCACUACUUGCAGUAAGUGGGGUGUUUACACUAUAGCAAGUGAAUGAGUUUCUGCAAAUAAUGUCACCACCUCAAACAAGAAUGAGCAGGCUGCAAAGGUGGCUAAUGCAUUGCUAGGCAUUUAAAACUUCCUGACCUUUCUCCCUGGGGUUUAUAAAGUAUAAUAUGAUAGUUCCUGGCAAAAUAGGAAGGGGUAAUGCUAAAAAACCUAAGAAUAUAAAUUUGUUCAUUGUGGGUAAAAGAUAGGGUGCCCUGAAGUAACCAUGGACAUAAAAGAAAUUAAAACCAAACCUAGCUCUGUAGGAAGAAAGUAUUAUUACUAAUCACAAUUAGCCAAACAACAGUCACCUCUUAAACGCUGGGCAGUUUUCGCUUUCUCGCCCCCUUUUAUGCUCUAUGCUUUUCAGUGCACCCUGCUCCCAUUUACCAUGUCAUCCUCUCCCAAGAUAUUCUGUGUGUGCCUGUAUCACCAUUCCCAGUGUCCCUUGCUCUGCUAGCAUGGGUUUGAGUGGCAGUGAGAAAUCUGUAAGCAGGUGUUGUGGAAGUGAAGCGUGCCAUUUCGGCCAGUACAUUAGGUAAAGUAACGUUCCCUUGGGAACUCUAAUGCUUACAACUGCAUCAGCCCCAACUGUUCCUGCGAGAAAAGAAAGAGGCCAGUCCUGACCUGUUCUGACCAGAUGUUUUGGAAAUGUGCCCAUUUUUAGCAGAUAUAAUUGCUGUUAAUUUAUCAAAAGUGCAAUAGGUACUAACAAAGCACACUCUACUUACAAUCUAGCAAUAAAAUGUAAGAGACAAAAUAAGGGGUACAGAAGAGGUUAUGUUUGAACCACAGAAUCACAGAACUGUAGGGGCUAGAAGGGACCUCUAGAGAUCAUCGAGUCCAACCCCCCUGCAAAGCAGGCCUCCUACAGCAGGCUGCACAGGUGUAUAGUGCAUAGGACUUUAUUCAAUACUAGUUUAUGAUAAUUUCCAACAUAAUCCACUCUGUGUAAUAGAUAUGAUAUGACUGAUUAAUAAAUGGAUGCAGGGGAAAAAAAGAUAAUUUUUCAUUAUCCUUUGCCAAAAUUGUUCAGGAAUCUCUGUAGACUGCAGACUGCAUUCUGUAGACUACAUGUAAGAAAAGGGGAAGGAAACGUAACGAAAGCUACUGAGUUUUAACUGUGUGUCGGGUUCAUUUGGAAAGCUUACAUCUUAUUCUUUAAACUCUGGAAAGAGAGAAUCCAACCUGCACAAACAAAAGGAAAUGAUGGUCAUGUCCUUUUAUUAAUAUCCUUUGAAAUUACCGAAAUCAGAUUUGUCACAUGAAAAAAAAAACAUUUACAAAAAUAAUUAUUUUGUUUUCCUUCUUCCUCUUUCACUUACUUUACAGUAUCUGUCUUGUUCAGAGGGCUAAAGGGCAGCCCACCAAUUUUCUAAGUAUUUUCAUUUUCAGAACAUGAAUACCUUUUCUGAGCAUAAAUAUGUGGGUGCUGUCAUUCCCAUUAUCAGUUUGAAGUGCAGGGAUUUCAUUCAGUUCUGCAUGUCUCAAUAGGGUAAAGUAAUUUUUUUCUAUGAGGAUCAGUGCAAUUACAGUAAGCUUGCACUCCAGGAAACAAGGGGUUUUAUAGGCUUGAAUUUCUGGAUUUCUGAGGCAUUUAUUCAGCCUUUAUCUUUGCACUUAUUAACAAAAAUUUGCUGAUCGCCAAGAAGUAAACUAUCAGAAUACUCAGCUUAAAAUCAGAAUGUCUUUUUCCGAAAUUGAUAGUCUUGAUGAGUUACAAGAUUUUUUUUUCCACACACCACAAACACUUCAAUAAUAAGAAUUGUGUUACUAUCUUAUUCAUAAUGCAAAGGUGUCAUUUAAUAAUAAACUUGUUCAGCAGUAUGGUUUUGCAUUUGCUCUUUCUGACAAAUUAGAAAGACUAUGCAAUUUUCAUUCUUUUUUUUUUUUUUUUUAACUAUGUUAUUUGUAGAAAACAUUCCUUCUCAAGCAUAGCUUUCAUGGUAUAUAGUGCCUAUCUGUGCAUACAGAGCAUCCCAUAUGGUUACAGUGGGCCGGAGGGGUUGCUACUAGCCAUAUUUUAAAAAGCAGAUGUUACUAAUCUUCUAAGUAUUACACCCAAAUGAUGUCACUUCUGACUGACAACAGUUGGGCUCAUCAAUCCCCUUCAAUGUCCUUUUGCAUGUAACGUGUAAAGGGAAAGAAAAUUUUGCUCAGGAAGCAUGUCUCUAAAAGGGCAGAUCACUUUAUAUUACUACUGAACUGUUGAGCAGAAUGUCAGUUCCUGCAGGGGAAUGUAUAUAUCUGUUAAAGGCAAGAAGGUAAAGAAGUUUGCCUAGUAAUAGGACAUGCAGGGAAACUUUUAGGACAGCCAUUUCAGAGUCAGGCUACAAUGUGACAAGCUGAGGGUUUUAGCUCAAAGUGCCUGUCUGCAUCGUGCAAUACACAAAGGCAACAUUCUUAUGCAUGUACAGAAGAUUUCCUUACAGGAUUGCACACGAAGGUACUAGGUGCUUCUGUGAACAAAGCCAGUGUGAAUUCCAGAGUUGCUUUUCAGUUGAUUGCAUUUAACAGCAGUGAAUAAACAAAGAUGAAAGCUAGCACUGAAGAUUUGGCCACAAAUGGUACAGAUUUCACAGAAAUGAAUAAAUAAGGUUUAAUUUCUGUGACAAUUGCAGAGCUAUUUUUUUUCAUUUUCCAUAUAAAUCCUUCGCCUCCUAAAUCUCACAAAGUAGUGAGUAAUAGUAGUGAAGAGUAGUAAUAGUGGAUGUGCUUUGGUGUCUUUUCUGGAUUUCCAGAAAGUUAAACACAUACACACACAAAAAUAGGCUAAUAUAUCCAGACAGUGCAUCAGAAACCAGUUACUACACCAAUGAUAGUAAUAACACAUAUCAAACUCCUUCUCUUCUGCUAGCAAUAGGAUCCUUCUUCAGUUUACUUUGGCAGGAAUUUCUUCCUCAGAUUCCCUCCCAGUGCUCACUCUGUGUAUUUCCCAUCCUAUUUUUGCUGUUACAUAAUAUUUUUUCUUACAGAUACUAUACUUUGCCAACUCUGUCUCUCUCCAUAUACACUUCACUCAGACAUUUGUGUUAAUAAUAUUCUGCAGAGAUUAUUCUCAGGGUUUAAUUAUCCACUGGUUUAAAAAUAAUUUUAUUUGACCCAUUUUGAACAUGUGGCCACAUAGUUUUGCAUUUGGGAUAUGAAUAAGAAUAAGAGAGAAUGAAUAAGAGAACUUAAUUUACCUUAUAAGUACCACAUUAACAGCUAUAUACUUGUGUGGGUUUUCCUGAUUAUCUGGAUAUUCCUUUCUAUUUCCUUAUUAUUUUCAACUUCUUUAUGGAAGGUUUUGUUACCUGUACAGUAACAAGACUGUAAGAGUCACUCCUCCGAACAGAGAAGAUGAAAACAGCUCAUAUGUUUCCAACUUCAGAGCCCUUUUUAGCUAAAAUUUGACCUGAAAGCUUUAUUUCAGUAAUUUUUCAGGCCCGUACAGCCAGAACUUCCCUCUUAGUUUCUCUUAACAUUAAUCUUUUACAUUCAGGGACAAAAACUCUUACAAAAUAAUAAAAGCAAAGACAUUCCACACUUUUGUACAUUUCCAUUCAAUAAAAAAGAUAUCUAUUUUUCAGUUGUAUGCUGGUAUCUC